rnacentral:rRNA from 1 species
GACGAACCGUGCGAACGUUGUUCGGAAUCACUGGGCUUAAAGGGCGCGUAGGCGGGCUGACAAGUCUGGGGUGAAAUGCCGCGGCUCAACCGUGGAACUGCUCGGUAUACUGCGGAUCUUGAGCCACCUAGGGGCAACCGGAACAAAUGGUGGAGCGGUGAAAUGCGUAGAUAUCAUUUGGAACGCCAAUGGUGAAAACAGGUUGCUGGGGGUGUGCUGACGCUGAGACACGAAAGCCAGGGGAGCGAACGGG